UAGGGAAUCUUCAGCAAUGGACGAAAGUCUGACCGAGCAACGCCGCGUGAGUGAAGAAGGUUUUCGGAUCGUAAAACUCUGUUGUUAGAGAAGAACAAGGACGUUAGUAACUGAACGUCCCCUGACGGUAUCUAACCAGAAAGCCACGGCUAACUACGUGCCAGCAGCCGCGGUAAUACGUAGGUGGCAAGCGUUGUCCGGAUUUAUUGGGCGUAAAGCGAGCGCAGGCGGUUUCUUAAGUCUGAUGUGAAAGCCCCCGGCUCAACCGGGGAGGGUCAUUGGAAACUGGGAGACUUGAGUGCAGAAGAGGAGAGUGGAAUUCCAUGUGUAGCGGUGAAAUGCGUAGAUAUAUGGAGGAACACCAGUGGCGAAGGCGGCUCUCUGGUCUGUAACUGACGCUGAGGCUCGAAAGCGUGGGGAGCAAACAGG
rnacentral:rRNA from 1 species